UACGGAGGGUGCGAGCGUUGUCCGGAAUCAUUGGGCGUAAAGGGCGCGUAGGUGGCUCGUCAAGCGUGCGGUGAAAGUCGGGGGCUCAACCCUGGAAUGCCGGUGGAAACUGUCAAGCUUGAGUCCGGAAGAGGCGAGUGGAAUUCCUGGUGUAGCGGUGAAAUGCGCAGAUAUCAGGAGGAACACCAAUGGCGAAGGCAGCUCGCUGGGACGGUACUGACGCUGAGACGCGAAAGCGUGGGGAGCAAACAGG
rnacentral:rRNA from 1 species